rnacentral:rRNA from 1 species
UACAGAGACUGCAAGCGUUAUUCGGAUUCACUGGGCGUAAAGGGUGCGCAGGCGGCCAAGUGUGUCAGGUGUGAAAUCCCGGGGCUUAACUCCGGAACUGCGCCUGAAACUACUUGGCUAGAGCAUUGGAGAGGGAAGUGGAAUUCACGGUGUAGCAGUGAAAUGCGUAGAUAUCGUGAGGAACACCAGAGGCGAAGGCGACUUCCUGGACAAUUGCUAACGCUCUGGCACGAAAGCGUGGGGAGCAAACAGG